AGCCUGUUCAGAAACACAGCCCAGAUUGUUGUGACAUUAUCUCACUUCUUGAGAUAAUCAAGAGGUGGCAGUCAUGCUUGCCUCUGAGAUGUUAAUGAUCAAAGCGCUCCAGGAACCUCUUAAAGGAUCGACCGCUAUUCUCUUCACAGUUUUUCAACUAUAAAAGUGAGAUACUCUUUGCAGCUUAUUUAAAUGGUGUAGAAGUGCAUAAUGUCAAAAAAAAAAAAGGGCUCCUCUAGCUUUUCUAAUCCUGUGCAUUAAAAUUAAGUUCAACAUG